rnacentral:rRNA from 1 species
GAGUUUGAUCCUGGCUCAGAGCGAACGCUGGCGGCAGGCCUAACACAUGCAAGUCGAACGGAUCCUUCGGGAUUAGUGGCGGACGGGUGAGUAACACGUGGGAACGUGCCCUUUGGUUCGGAACAACUCAGGGAAACUUGAGCUAAUACCGGAUGUGCCCUUCGGGGAAGAUUUAUCGCCAUUGGAGCGGCCCGCGUCUGAUUAGCUAGUUGGUGAGGUAAAGGCUCACCAAGGCUACGAUCAGUAGCUGGUCUGAGAGGAUGAUCAGCCACAUUGGGACUGAGACACGGCCCAAACUCCUACGGGAGGCAGCAGUGGGGAAUCUUGCGCAAUGGGCGAAAGCCUGACGCAGCCAUGCCGCGUGAAUGAUGAAGGUCUUAGGAUUGUAAAAUUCUUUCACCGGGGACGAUAAUGACGGUACCCGGAGAAGAAGCCCCGGCUAACUUCGUGCCAGCAGCCGCCGCAGUAAC